CCUGUUGGAUUAUAUAAAGCAAAAACUAAUACCCCUAACUUUCGAUAACAUUGUUCUUUGUUCUAUCUGAACAAUCUACUGUUUAUUUAACUCUACACACACUGCGUCACGGGAUCUUGUUAGACGGACGUAUUGCUUCCAAGUACCAUUUAAAGUAUAGAAUAAAUAUUUCAAUAUCAAAUUAGUAUAUUAUUUCUUUUAAUCCCAUACCUCCUAUAGGUUAUGGGCCCAGUGCGAAAAAGGACAUUUAGUAGUGAGAACAUUCAGUAGUGCGUAGUGACAGUAAAGUGCAUAGUUGUAAAUAAAAAUAAAGUUGUGACAAUGGAAAAAGUGAAAAGAAACAUUAAGCCUUUUAAUGGAGAAAAGUACAGUGUAUGGAAAUUUAGAAUUCGUACACUGCUUUCAGAGUUAAACUUGCUCAGUGUUAUUGACGAAGAAAUUCCUGGAACGCGAUCCGCUGAGUGGGAAAAGAAUAAUAAGGCAGCCAAAAGUAUUAUAGUCGAAUAUUUGGCGGACUCAUAUCUUAAUUAUAUUAAUGAAAAUGGGACUGCUCAAGCAGUUUUUAAACAUUUUGACGCGAUCUAUGAAAGGAAAAGUGUAGCAACUCAAUUAGCGCUGAGAAAACAAUUAUUGGGAUUAAAAUUAAAAGCCGAUAUACCCUUGAUCAAACACUUCUCAACAUUUGACGAUCUGCUGACAGAAUUAUCAGCUGCUGGAGCUAAAUUAGAGGAAACGGACAAAGUAGCUCAUUUAUUACUUACUCUCCCGAAUACAUAUGAUGGCGUUAUCACUGCAAUUGAGACACUAUCUGAAGAAAAUAUCACUCUCGGUUUUGUAAAAACUAGACUAUUAGAUCACGAAGUAAAAUUAAAAAACGAGAGUCGUGAUACCAGUUUAAAGAUACUCCAUGUUGAAGAAAAAUAUAAUAAAACAGAUACAAUCGCACAAAACAAAACUAUUUGAAGAAUACAACAUUCAAGAAAACAAACAAACAAAAAUUUGUGAAAUGUCAUUACUGUGGACGCAAAGGACACAAGAAACAGGAUUGUUUCUAUUUCAAAAGACAGACAAAUAUACAAAACAAUGCCCCAGAAAGGACAAGACAAGUCCAAACUAUUGCCCUGCAAGAGGGAACGACCUCGAAUUCUUCUUUUUCAGGAUUUGCGUUCAUGACAAGCGCAUACCAUUAUGAAAAAGACCACUCGACAAUUAAAUUCCUAUUAGAUUCAGGAGCGUCUGAUCACAUCACAAAUAGAGAUGAUCUCUUCACAUCGUUUGAAUGUUUAAAUCCUCCUUUAAAAAUUUCAGUAGCUAAAAACAAUACAUUUAUUUCAGCAACUAAAAGGGGAAACAUAAAUCUUAUCAGUCAAACAGGAGUGCAAGGAAUACUUACAAAUGUAUUGUUCUGUGCCGAAGUACCAUAUAAUUUAAUAUCGGUAUCAAAGAUGCAGCAAGCAGGAUUCACCAUAAUAUUUGAUGACAAAGGCACACAAAUUACAAAGGAAGGUAAAAUCAUCAUGAAAGGUAACCAGUUGGCAGACUUGUUGACAAAACCUUUACCAGUCGUGUCUUUUAUAAGACUGAGAAAAGGAUUGGGUAUAGAAUAAGUUUUAAUUUAAGUACAAUUUCAUUAUGAAAUGGUCUGAUCAGGUUUUCUGGGUUUCCCUGAUCCUGUGCAGCAAAUGUUGGACCAUUAUUGUACAGUUGUCCCAGACCUUACUUGGAAGUAUAAUAUGUUACGUCGUAUUUAUAAGUUGGUAUUCACUUUGUAAUGUUGAAUUGUAGACUAGAUACUGUAUAGUAAACUAACGAAUGACUAAAAGUUAGGGAUUAAUUUUUGAGGGGGCGUGUUGGAUUAUAUAAAGCAAAAACUAAUACCCCUAACUUUCGAUAACAUUGUUCUUUGUUCUAUCUGAACAAUCUACUGUUUAUUUAACUCUACACACACUGCGUCACGGGAUCUUGUUAGACGGACGUAUUGCUUCCAAGUACCAUUUAAAGUAUAGAAUAAAUAUUUCAAUAUCAAAUUA